UUCAAUGGCCAUUGUUUUUUC
rnacentral:piRNA from 1 species